rnacentral:misc_RNA from 1 species
CAGCCGCGUAAUUCCAGCUCCAAUAGCGUAUAUUAAAGUUGUUGCAGUUAAAAAGCUCGUAGUUGAAUUUCGGGGUUAGUAGGUUGGUCAUGCCUCUGGUAUGUACUGGUCUCACUGAUUCCUCCUUCCUGAUGAACCUUAAUGCCAUUUAUUUGGUGUUUUGGGGAAUUUGGACUGUUACUUUGAAAAAAUUAGAGUGUUUAAAGCAAGCUAACGCUUGAAUACAUUAGCAUGGAAUAAUGAAAUAGGACGUUCGAUCCUAUUUUGUUGGUUUCUAGGAUUGACGUAAUGAUUAAUAGGGAUAGUUGGGGGCAUUAGUAUUCAAUUGUCAGAGGUGAAAUUCUUGGAUGUAUUGAAGACUAACUACUGCGAAAGCAUUUGCCAAGGAUGUUUUCAUUAAUCAAGAACGAAAGUUAGGGGAUCGAAGACGAUCAGAUACCGUCGUAGUCUUAACCAUAAACUAUGCCGACUAGGGAUCGGAUGAUGUUAAUUUUUUAAUGACUCAUUCGGCGCCUUACG